rnacentral:pre_miRNA from 1 species
GGGUAACUCUGGUAUUGGCCCGGUUCACUCAGACUCUAUAUUAUAUAUUCAACCUCUUGUCUAUAUGUAUAUGUGUAUAUAUAGUCAUUAGGGUUUAUAUAUAUAUUAUAUAUAUAUGUUAGGUCUGAUUGAGCCGUGCCAAUAUCUCAGUUCUUUUU